GGGGAGUUGUUGCUGCCGCGAUGCUGGUGGCGGCGGCCGCGGAGCGGAACAAGGAUCCCAUCUUGCACGUGCUGCAGCAGUACCUGGAUCCGGCCCAGCGCGGCGUCCGCGUACUCGAGGUGGCCUCGGGCUCCGGCCAGCACGCAGCGCACUUCGCCCGGGCCUUCCCCCUGGCCGAGUGGCAGCCGUCGGACGUGGACCAGCGCUGCCUGGACAGGUGCGGCCCCCGGGGCGGCCACUUCUAUCGGUGCGGCGGUCCGGGGCCUCAAGAGCCCACGGCCCGCAGCCCCGGAGGAAAAGGAUGCGGCUCGGGCUCUGAGGGUGCGGGGUGGGAGCCUGGGUGCCCCCGGGGCAGGCCCUAGCUGUGCGGCCCCCGCGGCUGCGGAAGUGGGUGGGCCUCGGGGGUCCCCCUUCCCAGCCGCUUUGGCCUCCGCUCCUCAACGUGCCCCCCAGCCUUCCCUAAGAAAGUCUGUGGGGGCGUCGGAAAGGCGGGUGCGCAGGACUGGGCCCCCACCCAAGCGUUCGCCUCCUGCAGCAUCGCGGCCACUACGCAAGCCCAGGGCCUGACCAACGUGAAGGCCCCGCUACACCUGGACGUGACUUGGGGCUGGGAGCACUGGGGCGGGAUCCUGCCGCAGUCGCUGGACCUGUUGCUCUGCAUCAACAUGGCCCAUGUCAGCCCCCUGCGCUGCACGGAGGUCUGUGGGGAGCCCAGCAUGGGUGUCUGCCGUGGCACCCCUCACCCUGCAUGGGGGCAGCCAGGAUGCCAGAUUUGCCCCCAUCACAGUCGGGGUGAGGGUCUCCAGCCUCCCCCAUCACAGUCGGGGUGAGGGUCUCCAGCCUCCCCCAUCACAGUCGGGGUGAGGGUCUCCAGCCUCCCCCAUCACAGUCGGGGUGAGGGUCUCCAGCCUCCCCCAUCACAGUCGGGGUGAGGGUCUCCAGCCUCAGGGCCUGGCUUCUGUUGGGGGCAGCACCUCACUGCCGUCCUGUUUCCUACUCCCCAGGGGCUCUUCAGAGCAGCAGGACACCUGCUCAAACCCAGGGCCCUGCUCAUCACCUAUGGGGUGAGUGGGCCUGUCCAUGGCAGGCCUCCCGCUCCCAGUCCUAGCUGCUGUCUCCUGCCCUACUGAGAGUCCUCCCUCCUGGGCUCCCUGCCCCCCGCCCAGCCACCAGCAUGGCCUCCCCUCCACUUCCAGUCUGUACCCCUCCCUGGGUCACCUGCCAGCCUCCCUACCCCCUUGCCCACCAGGCUGGCCUUGGCUGACUCCCUCUUGGGGACAGGGAGGGGCUGCCCUUUCAUUCUCCGAACCCCAGCCUGCAAGUCUGUCCCAGGCUCUCUGGGAAAUACCCCGACCUUGGUCCAGUGGGCUGUGUCCCCAUGCCCACAGCCCUAUGCCAUCAAUGGGAAGAUCUACCCCCAGAGCAACGUGGACUUUGACCUGAUGCUCAGAUGCAGGAACCCAGAAUGGGGGCUUCGGGACACAGCCCUCCUGGAGGACCUGGGAAAGGCCAGUGGCCUGCUCCUGGAGAGGAUGGUAGGUGGGGGAGCGGGGGCCCAGGCAACCUCUCUAGGGGUUGAGGGCCGUCCUCCAGCAAAGCGUUUCUCCAGGUGGACAUGCCAGCCAACAACAAAUGCCUGAUCUUCCGGAAAAACUAAGCCCCUCCUUCACCCCCGCACACCUGCAUCCCUGCCGGAGGCUCUGUGAGGCACAAACCCUGCCUCCCUAGGCCGGACCUUGUGGACGACAGCCCCACCCAGUCUGUGCUCUCAGCCGCUGGCCGAAGGGCCCAGCCUGCUCAGAAUAAAGCAUGUCCUGC
rnacentral:sRNA from 1 species